UGUAAAGUUUAUAAAACCAAUGAUGGGACAAACAUUACUAUUUAUGUGUGCAAAUUUCUGUAAUUAGUCAAGAUUAUCAUAGAUGCCUAUUCUCACACUUUGGCCUCCUGACGGACGUCGAUGUCCUUCAGAAGCUACAGGAGGCAAUUAGUCGAUGAGGACAGACCAUCCUGGAUUACUGUUCAACACUGGACAACCCCAAGAUCCGUGAUGUUCUGGCCUGCUAUGAUCCAGACUCUGACAAGGCUGCCUGCAUCCUGCUGCUCCUAAUGUUGUACUUCAAAGAGCCGAAAGAGAGUUUGAUGCUUGAAGUUGAUCCAUGUGCCACUGCUGUGGACGUCAAUACUGCAGAACUCCCCGGCACCCCCUGCUUGAUCAUUCAAGGUGACAUGAUGAAGCCCUCUGGAUGGCUUAUAUCCAUCGAGGGACAUGUCGUGAUGGGCCCACACCCUUUCUUUUUACACUGAGUAGCUGCUUUCUUCAGCAGCUAUUACGUAUUCAACCUUGAGUAUCCUGCUGCUGGAUCUUCGACGCUGGAGUUCAUUCAAAGGUGCUUCCUGGGCAUCAAUCCUGAAAGAGGCUCAAAGACCAAGAAGCGGACAACAAUGAACCCUCAUGUGAGCACCCUUUUGAGGAAACUUAUUGACUUUGAGCGGGCAUCAUAGUUUUUUUUGCAGC